rnacentral:rRNA from 1 species
UACGAAGGGGGCUAGCGUUGUUCGGAAUUACUGGGCGUAAAGCGCGCGCAGGCGGCUAUCCAAGUCAGUGGUGAAAGCCCGGAGCUCAACUCCGGAACUGCCAUUGAAACUGUUUAGCUUGAGGACGAGAGAGGUGAGUGGAAUUCCCGGUGUAGCGGUGAAAUGCGCAGAUAUCGGGAGGAACACCGGUGGCGAAGGCGGUUCUCUGGGCCUUACCUGACGCUGAGGAGCGAAAGCGUGGGGAGCAAACAGG